UGAGGGGUCCAUUUUUAACAAUA
rnacentral:siRNA from 1 species